rnacentral:rRNA from 1 species
UUCUCCUACGGGGGGCAGCAGUGGGGAAUAUUGCACAAUGGGGGAAACCCUGAUGCAGCGACGCCGCGUGAGCGAAGAAGUAUUUCGGUAUGUAAAGCUCUAUCAGCAGGGAAGAAAAAUGACGGUACCUGAGUAAGAAGCACCGGCUAAAUACGUACCAGCAGCCGCGGUAAUACGUAGGGGGCAAGCGUUAUCCGGAUUUACUGGGUGUAAAGGGAGCGUAGACGGCAGCACAAGUCUGGAGUGAAAUCCCGGGGCUUAACCCCGGAACUGCUUUGGAAACUGUGCGGCUGGAGUGCAGGAGG